GACGAACGCUGGCGGCGUGCUUAACACAUGCAAGUCGAACGAUGAACUUGGAGCUUGCUCUGGGGGAUUAGUGGCGAACGGGUGAGUAACACGUGAGUAACCUGCCUUGGACUCUGGGAUAACUUCGAGAAAUCGGAGCUAAUACCGGAUAGGACCUUGCACCGCGUGGCGUGGGGUGGAAAGUUUUUCGGUUUGGGAUGGACUCGCGGCCUAUCAGCUUGUUGGUGAGGUAAUUGCUCAACAAGGCGUCGACGGGUAGCCGGCCUGAGAGGGUGACCGGCCACUCUGGGACUGAGACACGGCCCAGACUCCUACGGGAGGCAGCAGUGGGGAAUAUUGCACAAUGGGCGCAAGCCUGAUGCAGCAACGCCGCGUGCGGGAUGACGGCCUUCGGGUUGUAAACCUCUUUUAGCAGGGAAGAAGCGAAAGUGACGGUACCUGCAGAAAAAGCACCGGCUAACUACGUGCCAGCCGCCGCGGUAA
rnacentral:rRNA from 1 species